UAGGGAAUCUUCGGCAAUGGGGGGAACCCUGACCGAGCAACGCCGCGUGAGUGAAGAAGGUUUUCGGAUCGUAAAGCUCUGUUGUUAAGGAAGAACGAGUGUGAGAAUGGAAAGUUCAUACUGUUACGGUACUUAACCAGAAAGGGACGGCUAACUACGUGCCAGCAGCCGCGGUAAUACGUAGGUCCCGAGCGUUGUCCGGAUUUAUUGGGCGUAAAGCGAGCGCAGGCGGUUAGAUAAGUCUGAAGUUAAAGGCAGUGGCUCAACCAUUGUAGGCUUUGGAAACUGUUUAACUUGAGUGCAGAAGGGGAGAGUGGAAUUCCAUGUGUAGCGGUGAAAUGCGUAGAUAUAUGGAGGAACACCGGUGGCGAAAGCGGCUCUCUGGUCUGUAACUGACGCUGAGGCUCGAAAGCGUGGGGAGCGAACAGG
rnacentral:rRNA from 1 species